GACGAACGCUGGCGGCGUGCUUAACACAUGCAAGUCGAACGGUGAAGCGCCUUCCUUUUUGGUUGGUGUGGAUGAGUGGCGAACGGGUGAGUAACACGUGAGUAACCUGCCCCCUUCUUCUGGAUAACCGCAUGAAAGUGUGGCUAAUACGGGAUAUUCUGGGUCUGUCGCAUGAUGGGUCUGGGUAAGAUGUUGUUUCGGUGGGGGAUGGGCUCGCGGCCUAUCAGCUUGUUGGUGGGGUGAUGGCCUACCAAGGCGGUGACGGGUAGCCGGCCUGAGAGGGUAGACGGUCAGAGUGGGAGUGAGACACGGCUGAGACUGCGACGGGAGGCAGCAGUGGGGAAGAUUGCACAAUGGGCGCAAGCCUGAUGCAGCGACGCCGCGUGAGGGAUGGAGGCCUGCGGGUUGUGAACCUCUUUCGCCAGUGAAGCAGGCCUGCCUCGUUUGUGGGUGGGUUGACGGUAGCUGGAUAAGAAGCGCCGGCUAACUACGUG
rnacentral:rRNA from 1 species